rnacentral:rRNA from 1 species
AGUUUGAUCCUGGCUCAGGAUGAACGCUAGCUACAGGCUUAACACAUGCAAGUCGAGGGGCAGCAUAUCGAAAGCUUGCUUUUGAUGAUGGCGACCGGCGCACGGGUGAGUAACGCGUAUCCAACCUUCCCUAUACUAGAGGAUAGCCCGGCGAAAGUCGGAUUAAUACUCUAUGUUCUUCGUAGAAGACAUCUGAAAUGAAGCAAAGGUUUACCGGUAUAGGAUGGGGAUGCGUCUGAUUAGGUUGUUGGCGGGGUAACGGCCCACCAAGCCCACGAUCAGUAGGGGUUCUGAGAGGAAGGUCCCCCACAUUGGAACUGAGACACGGUCCAAACUCCUACGGGAGGCAGCAGUGAGGAAUAUUGGUCAAUGGACGAGAGUCUGAACCAGCCAAGUAGCGUGCAGGAUGACGGCCCUAUGGGUUGUAAACUGCUUUUAUACAGGGAUAAAGUUCACUACGUGUAGUGUUUUGUAGGUACUGUAUGAAUAAGGACCGGCUAAUUCCGUGCC